UUUUUGCUUAAAUCAACUCUAAUACAUGUGGAAAAUAUGUUCCUAAAGUUACAAAUCGAUAUUCGACCUCUACGUAUAGUUAUAGUCGAGUUUUCGACCGCGCGUUGAGUAGGUAGCUGGGAGCGCUCGGAGCGGAGACACGCGUCUCGUCUGUCCUCACUCAUACACUCGUACAUAACAAACAGCUUCGCAGGUAUACGUCUAAUGGUUUUCUUUUGUUGUGAUAUACCUUCGCGUACUUGUAUAGCUGAGGCAGGAAAUUUUUACGAGAGCUUCAAUUCGUGUGUUUGGCGUUUGGCUCCGAAAUAUUUAUAUUGUGGCAUCCGAACAGUGGAAAUAGCCGCAUAUAUUGCUGCAGGAUUAUUCAACGAAGGCUAUUUCGCCGUUUUAAAAAUUAUGGACACAUUAGAACUAAAGAUCGGUACCCAUUGUAAGGAGUAUGCAGACUCGUAUGACGCCGCGCGAAUACGGCAACAGGAGUGACGAAGCCUCAGUAGCUCGAAAGAAGCUCGAACUGCUCGCAAAGAACUGAAUUUACAACAGCAGCAAUUAUACGAGGAUGCAGAAGGCCUACUAUAUGGCCCUGGAAUCGCCGAUUAGGACUACCAUUACAGCGGAUGCUAGACUGCACACCGUUUGACGCCUGCGACGCCGAAGCCGCUGAAGGCGGCGUCCAUACCUAUAUCUAUAUAUAUGUUUUUUUUAACCAAAAAAAUAUUUUUAUAUUCUCUUUACAUGUAUUGAUGUACUAUUAAAGUUUGAGACCCUUUGACUAAA